AUUGAACGCUGGCGGCAUGCCUUACACAUGCAAGUCGAACGGUAACAGGUCUUCGGACGCUGACGAGUGGCGAACGGGUGAGUAAUACAUCGGAACGUGCCCAGUCGUGGGGGUAACUACUCGAAAGAGUGGCUAAUACCGCAUACGAUCUGAGGAUGAAAGCGGGGGACCUUCGGGCCUCGCGCGAUUGGAGCGGCCGAGGGCAGAUUAGGUAGUUGGUGGGAUAAAAGCUUACCAAGCCGACGAUCUGUAGCUGGUCUGAGAGGACGACCAGCAACACUGGGACGGAGACACGGCCCAGACUCCUACGGGAGGAAGCAUUGGGGAAUUUGGGAAAAUGGGCGAAAGCCUGAUCCAGCAAUGCCGCGUGCAGGAUGAAGGCCUUCGGGUUGUAAACUGCUUUUGUACGGAACGAAAAAGCUACUCCUAAUACGAGAGGCCCAUGACGGUACCGAAGAAUAAGCACCGGCUAACUACGUGCCAGCAGCCGCGGUAAUAC
rnacentral:rRNA from 1 species